UUCACUAUUCUGGUUGUGACACAGACGGAGAAGGUGACAGAAGAAGAGGAAGACGGGGGGGGGGUCUACAAGGAGAGGGGCGAGACAAGUGAGGAGAAGCUGGCUACAGAUCAAAGAGAAGCUUUAAAAGGAGAGUGGAGACCGAGGAGAGAGUCACAUAGCCGCAAAAGCAAAGGAAGUUCCGGUUCAAACACCUUCCGAAUACGAACGAAGAAUAGCACAGAGGAAGUGGAUGGAGGUGAACUUAAAGGCAGGGAAGAGGAGGAAAUUGAGAGGUGAAUGAAUGAAAGGGAAGCUGCAAGGGGGGAAUGGACAGAAGCAGGAGCAAUAAAUAAAAAUGCGAACAGGAAGGAGCGGUCCAUGCACAGAUGCAGGUGGAGGAAGCGAGGAUCUGUCAAACGGCGGGCUGGCUGAGGAACUGCGCUCUGACCUUCACCAGACAAGCUGCUGCCUCCGACAGGAAUUUACGCAUGCUCUCACUUUGUAUUAUUGGCUUAGAAAGGGGAGAGUGUAUACGCAUGCACAGCUUUGCAGGCCCACCUGGCCAUAUGUGCGCGACAGAAUCUUUGCGUGUGAGCGAACACCAUUAGCCGGGCGAGUGUGAAUGCGGGCGUGUGGACGCGGGCCAGACACAGCGUGAACAGCUCAACGCAAAGCAGACCUUCAUCCCGUAACCCCCUACUACUGUAUAUCACCCGCCAUCAUAAAACCGGCGAUUGCAUCUAACUAGAAGCUUUAUGAGACUCUCAGUGGUCAAAACUGUGUCCGUCUCCCCCCAAGACUCUAAAAAUGGAGUGUGGGUGUAUGUAUUAAAGAAAGAGGAAACGUAUCUCCUAACAAGUGAUUCAAAUGUUGUUGUCCAGAUGCUUUUAGGGGAAAAUAAAGCGAAAUAUUUCCAGGUAAUUUGGGACUCACCAGGGACAACUGAUUUUGUGAUGCGAAAACACAUUUUCUUUCACCGUGUACUUUUCUGCAUUACUUUUCAAAUGAUUCUAAUUCUUUUGAGCUUAUUCAUCUUAUUUGUGGUUGUUUUCAAUGGUUUUCAGGGGUUUUGGACAGUUACUUACACAGCUCAACAUUACAUAACUGUAUUAAAUGCAGCCCCUGGGGACAGAAGAAGUAGGGGAGACACAUUUUGACUGCUCUACUUACGGGGCCAAUGCUGUAACCAAAAUAAAUUGCUUCCUUGUAGCAAUCCUGCAGUACUAAUGCGGGAUAGCUGCACGUAAGGCGGAAUUUCUACAAUAGCAACCACAGCAGGUUCAUUUUUAGUGAAUUGAAUAAAUAUCUGCUGUGCGGGUCUGAAUGUCAGUAACUUAAUAAAUGUACA